GACUUGGAGGUUGUUCCCUUGAGGAGUGGCUUCCGGAGCUAACGCGUUAAGUCGACCGCCUGGGGAGUACGGCCGCAAGGUUAAAACUCAAAUGAAUUGACGGGGGCCCGCACAAGCGGUGGAGCAUGUGGUUUAAUUCGAUGCAACGCGAAGAACCUUACCUACUCUUGACAUCCAGCGAACUUWGCAGAGAUGCUUUGGUGCCUUCGGGAACCCUGAGACAGGUGCUGCAUGGCUGUCGUCAGCUCGUGUUGUGAAAUGUUGGGUUAAGUCCCGCAACGAGCGCAACCCUUAUCCUUUGUUGCCAGCGAUUCGGUCGGGAACUCAAAGGAGACUGCCGGUGAUAAACCGGAGGAAGGUGGGGAUGACGUCAAGUCAUCAUGGCCCUUACGAGUAGGGCUACACACGUGCUACAAUGGCGCAUACAAAGAGAAGCGACCUCGCGAGAGCAAGCGGACCUCACAAAGUGCGUCKUAGUCCGGAUCGGAGUCUGCAACUCGACUCCGUGAAGUCGGAAUCGCUAGUAAUCGUGGAUCAGAAUGCCACGGUGAAUACGUUCCCGGGCCUUGUACACACCGCCCGUCACACCAUGGGAGUGGGUUGCAAAACAAGUAGGUAG
rnacentral:rRNA from 1 species